rnacentral:lncRNA from 1 species
UCUCCCAACUGGUGGGGAACGUGCCUUUGGAGCCGGCCUUCUGAUACCUGAUACCUGAUGGUAAAUUUAACAACACAAAGUCUUUGAAAACAAAAAACAGAUUAUGACAAUUUAUGGCUCAGUCAACUAUCUUCAUUGUUCACAAGAUAAUGAAAUUCUCAAUUUGACAAUGUUUACAAUGUAAAAAUUACCGACAUCGAAAUACAUUUUCUCAUCCGUUUUUAUUUAUACACUGCCCUCCAUUUUGUCCUUCAUCGUAAAUGUUGCAACGCGGGAACAGCUUCUAAGUUUUCUUGGCUAAAAAGUGUUUAAAAACAUUAAAAAAUAUUUCAAUAAUUAGCGCAGACUGGGAAGAAUAUACAGUGAUUGUUGCUAAGUAAACAUUUCGUAGGAAUUGCUUCAAUCCUCAUUUGUUUGUUGAUGUGAACGAAUUAUGAAAACAAUUCGAUUAGUCACAGCUCAGAAUACAUUUGGCGAUAUUUUUUUUACAGAAAAUAAAGUUUAGUUCGCUUUUUGAUCGUAGCAGAGCAGAUAGCAGUUAUUAUCAACACAAUGUUCGCUGAUGGAAAAGAUGUACAUAUGCAAAAUGGUAAGGUAAUAUGGAUGUGGAUGGAUUCGUCGCUUCCUCGACAGACGCUAACCAUACUUCGAAAAGUGGUAAUGUAAACCUGGAAUGUAAACCAGGUAUUCACAUACCUAAUCGAACGAACUCACAUCCUACAGAGUGGAUCUAGAUAAGAGUGGCGUCAAUGUCAAAAUUGGAACAGCGGCGAACUGUCAUUUCCAUACAAAUCCGCGUUCCAAUCGAGCAGGAGACCUGUCAAAACUGGAACAUGACGUCACUCUUGUUUACAGGCACUCUACAUCCUACUAUUAACUGCAAUGCAUGAUCACGUUUAUUUAAUAAUUUGUCAUAUAAAUACAAAAAGUUAAAUAAAACUGUUUUCUGUUUUAAUAUUUGCAAAGAAACAAUUUAAUUAUCAUUAAAUACGAUAAUUAUAUUACAUGCUGCAACACAAUCAAAUUAACCGUUUUUUCUAGUAUAUUUAACGGAUCCAUGGUAGAUUUAUUAGUAGAGGCACCAACCUUGAAAACCCCUUGCCAUAAUGGUAAAAUAUACAAUUCUUGUUCUCAUAUCAAUAAUGAAAUCACUUCGGUUGGUGCGAGUUUGUCAAUUCUAACCCCGAUUGUAGUAUUUUCCACCAUCAACCUUCUUUCAGUGCAUACAUAACCACCAAAUGGACACUCGGUGAUUGUUACUGAGGUUAACCUAAUUACCUAUCACACUGACCUGAAAUUCACGUAGGUACCUAAAUUAAUUUUGACAUUUGCGUAUCGCACGAACAUUCAGUAUUGAGCUCGAAUGCUAAGAUGGUGCCCGCAAUAUUUUCGAUAAACUUUGGGAGCUGUUGCACUUCAAACCUCAUUUAGGAUUGAUUUAAUGGUAUCUACCUGGGAGGGAGGCACCGAUACUACACACACGCUAACAUAAAAGUACCCUUUAAAUGGGUACCAUGUACCCAUUAUUAUAAUCUCUAUGGAAAUGUCAGAAAAAGGGUAUCUUACAAUGACAUUAAAAAGGGUAUUUUAGCCUCAUUAUAGAGUAUCUGCUCUCAUAGAAAUAAUGGGUAAAUAGUAUACAUGGUAGCUUGGUACCAUCAACAUCGCCAUUUUUAGAUUUUGUUUCGCUUGCCGUUUAGAAUUAAUGAAAACACGUUGUGCAUAGUGGAAGACACACUGUUUUACUGUACAAAUACACAUUCUAGCUUCUCCUCUGUCGUACUGCCCGCUACAGGCAUUACCAUGGACAAAGUUGUCAUCUUCCGGCCGGUUCCAAGGAGGAUGUUUUGGAGUGUUUCAACAUCUUCAAUUGGCUUUUGAUUAAUCCCGCAGUGGGAAACAAAUUUUGUAAUUCGUGAUUGACAUAUGGAUAAUAAAUGUGUUAUAUGUUAUUUACAAAGUCUU